rnacentral:rRNA from 1 species
AUUGAACGCUGGCGGCAGGCCUAACACAUGCAAGUCGAACGAGUGGCGGACGGGUGAGUAAUGUAUGGGAAACUGCCUGAUGGAGGGGGAUAACUACUGGAAACGGUUGCUAAUACCGCAUACUAUCGGAUGUGCCCAGAUGGGAUUAGCUAGUAGGUGGGGUAAAGGCUCAACUAGGCGACGAUCGCUAGCUGGUCUGAGAGGAUGACCAGACACACUGGAACGGCGACACGGUCCAGAAUCCGACGGGAGGCAGCAGUGGGGAAUAUUGCAAAAUGGGCGCAAGCCUGAUGCAGCCAUGCCGCGUGUAUGAAGAAGGCCUUCGGGUUGUAAAGUACUUUCAGCGGGGAGGCGUUACCCGCAGAAGAAGCAUCGGCUAAGUCCGUGCCAGCAGCCGCGGUAAUAC